AAGUACUUGUUGAGUGAUGCUGAUUUCUUUGUGUGACGAUGAAGACUUGCUUUUGCUUCUUUGAAAAGCCUCUUGUGGAACAAGUGAGAAAGUUUAUCACGUUACGUCAGUUCUCACCUGAUAUCAGGAUGCAGGUUCUUUGCCCCUGUUCAUCUCCUUUGCUCAGAAGCAUUUUGUUUUAAAUGAAGUCUACAAAUAUAUGAGCAAAAACUGAGUGUUGAGAUGGAGGUGAGGUGUCCUGGAUCUGAUUGUCGAGCAGGAACAAGAGAGGCUUGAGAAAACUCGCUCUCCUCCAAAGAAUUUGGAAAGCCUCGCAAUGGGUGGGAUACAGGAAAACAUGGAGAGAGCUCUGCUUCCCAGGAGUUUUCAUUUCUCAGCAAGAGGAAGAGCUCGGGCAGUGAUGUUGUUUGGGAGUUGAUGCUUGCUGUCCCCAGACUGUGUGUGGCUGCUGGACUCCUCCUCUUUGGGAUUUAGGUAAAGAGCACUGGGUUCAUGAUGCCGGUGGUCAGCAGUGCAAGUCCAUGUCUGGGAUGCUGAGUGUGCUGGGUGUGAAUCGUGACUGAGAAAAGCAAGCUGUUCAUGUGGGCCUACCCAGGCUCUGCCUCACUCUCUCCAAGGAGCAGUGUUGAUUCAUUUGCCCUCAUCACCCACAGCUGUGGAUGCCCUUUCCACGCCACUGUGAUCAAGGGCACACAGUAACCUGCCUGUCCGCGUGGCAAAGACAUGGCUGUCUGUCCCAAGAAAGUCCAGGUCCACUGCCUACCUAGAAGUUCCUCCUCAGCGAUGAAGCUCACCCAUCACUGGAGCACAGUUCCCACAGGGCAGACACUGCUACACGCCUGGGUUCUUCUGCUUCCUUGGGCAAUCCAAAGAGCAAACAAAUCCCAGGUAAUAAGAAUGCUCCAGGUGCCUGCCAGCUGCAGGAGGGCUCUCUGGAGCAGGAGCACUGAUGUGGUGGAGAUGAGCAAUGGGGUUAUGCCGAAGCAAUCGCAGCCUGACAGCCACUCCAGUUUCUAAUUCAUGAUGGACUCGAGCUAAGCGGUCUUUGGCCCUCCCCUCUCCCCCAGCAGCAUGGCAGGAAGGCUCUGACAUUAAGCAAAAUAAAAUCCAACCCUUAGCAUUAAGUAAAACUCCCAGCGUGAUGGGUUUGUGGCUUGCAGCAACAGCACAGCAGGAGCGUGUUAAAGCCAGUCUCCAGCGAGUGGAAGAAUGAAGCUUUACAAAACCCUGACGAGGCAAAGCUCCUAAAAUAACAAUUGAAUUAAACUUAAUUCAUUUUCACUUAAUACCCUAAUAGUGCCUUUAGCAAAUGAGACUGUUAUCAUUUUGAGGAGGAAAAUGGGGAGGCGCAGUCUGGAUGCAACUCACAUCUCCUUAGUGUGAAAGAAAGAAAACGGUCUUGGAAAUAAAUAACCAGGGGAAGCAAUGCAGACAAUUCAGAGGUUUCCUUUGGGAAUAAACACUCCCAAACCUGAACACAUUCAUAUUCCAAACUGAGGAGUGUGUAAAACAGGCUAAUUUUUUCCAGACCCUUGAGGUUUGCUAAGUUUGGGUCAUACUCUGCACCCAGCUGGUUGGGACUUUCCUCCCCUCUCCUUGUCAUGAAGCCCUUCCCUUGGGAAAGCUGCAGAUCCCGUGCUGCCAGGCCCUGACUCAGCAGGCAGGUGAGCACAAGCCUGUGCCAUCCCUUGCACGAUGCUCUGGGCACCAUCACAUACUGGAUCUUUAUUUCCAGCUGUGCCUCCUAUGUGCUCGAGCUCACCCUCAUGAUGCUGCAGGAAGUUGCUGCUAUAUCCCAGCUGAUAUCUCAGCCUGUGUGCUCCAUGAUGGCCAUGCUGGCACCGAACUACACUUCCCAGGAGGCCACAGAGCAAGAGCAGUGCUCUCUGAGAUGAGUGCAGGAAAAACGCUCCCUUUGGCUGCUCGUGCUCGGUGGUGAAUGGGAUGGCAGUGGAAUGUCAGGACUGGAAGCAGCACCGCUCUGCGAGCAGCUGCAGGCAUUGCAGCUAAAUGGGUUUUUCCUCUUAAUGCAGCUCUCUGCUGUCACUGCAGCCUUCCUCCAGCAAAUAGCCCAAGCUGGCUGUGCAAGGUUGGCCUCGCCCUCUGCUUCUCUCUCAGGCAGGCUCUGCUAAUCCGCUCCUGACAGAUGUUUUUGUCUCUCAUUCAUAGAAACCUUUUCCCCUUGCCCUGCUUGGCACAGGCAGCUCCAGUUUUAAGAAGAAGGAUAAGAAACUUUCAAAGCUCUCUGUUCAUCCUCCCAGCUACGGCUGGUUGCUUUUAGGGUUAUAGUACCAAAUGCAAUGGGAGGUUGCCGGAACAGCAAGCAUUCUCGUCAUUGUAGAUGGGGAAGAUCAGGAAUAGGGACUGCACUUCUCCAUCUCUAGGGCUGAUGUCAGCUGUGUGCCUUCUGAAUCUCCGCCUAAGAAAUGGAUUCUUUGAGCCCUGUUCCUUUGAAGGGAGAUUCCUGACUUGGGUGGCAGUCAAGGCUCAAGAAAACAAGACGCUGGGUGUCCCUUUGCCAGAGUGCAGCAUGGGACCAUCACCCUGUAGGAGUGAUAGAGACCCCCGGUCCCAUUGCAGUGACAUGAGCAUGGGGAUACUGGGGCCUUCUGGGGAGAGCUGCUGACCUCUCAUGCCUGGCUUUGAGGAUGCCAUUGGCAGAGGAGUGAGGUACGCUGUGCCAAACCCUUUAAAAGAGGGUCGCAGAAAGGUGAGGGGCAAAUUCCCUUCACUCUGGGCCAUGGUUUCUGCACUCUGGGAUGGGCACAGCGUGAGGACUGAAGGCAGGAGCUGUUUUGCAGCCUUGCUCAUGGGCACUGCAGCUGAUUUCUCCGGCAGAG